UUGGACCUCUUCAUUUCCAUCCCCCAAAAUUCAACUCCUCUCUCUUCUCCCAAGCUCAACCCGACAACCUCUCAAGUUUAAGCAGCGCCCUUGAGCUCCUCAUCUGGCAGCUCAGAUCUGUCGUUUUCCAAGAGAUGAGCUGAUGAGCUCUCCAUUUCGCUAAUUGCUUGCUUGUUUAUUAGCGUAUUUUGGCUUAAAGAUCGCAUCUUGAGGGAUCCAUAUGGGAGCAUUUGGAUCCUCCUGAAGCCAUAGCCGUCGUCUUCCCUAUGAUGCGAGCUCGCCAAGGGCGGAGUGGUAGGGUUGAGUGGUGCUUCGGCUUCUUGCGUUCGCGGGGUUCCACGCUCAGCUUGUUCUUUCUCUACCUGCUCAUGGUGCAGGGCCAUGGAAUUGGAAACCCUCCGCUCCAUAAAUCUCCCCUCGAGGUUCGCGCUUUGAUGCUCUUGUAGUGCUGGGCUCCGAUGGGGAAUGGCACGUCUCGAGCCGUUGGCUGUUUCGUUCCCUCAGGAGUCGCCAAGGAUGGGGUCGAUCUGGACCUCCUUGAGCCCUUAGACGAAGGCCUGGGCCACUCCUUCUGCUACGUGAGGCCGGUGAUUGUGGAUUCUCCGGCUAUAACGCCCUCAAACUCCGACAGGUACACUGUGGUUUCGAACACUCUUGAUUCCGACACGCGCAGUGCUUCUUUCAGGCAGGAGAUUGCAGAAGAGUCGCAGAGGGCGAGCAAGAAUUCUUCUGAGACCACCUUUCGGACCAUAUCGGGGGCCUCAGUCAGUGCCAAUACCUCCACUGCGCGGACCGGUAACCCUAAUGUGCUCAUCUCCAACGAUACGCAAGAGCCGGCUGCUUCAUUUGAGAGCACCGCUUCAUUUGCCUCUGUCCCUCUCCAGCCACUGCCUCGUGGAUCGGGGCCUCUGAAUGCUUUUAUGUCAGGGCCUUUGGGGAGGGGAUUCGCCUCGGGGCCAUUGGAGAGAGGGGCGAGUCUUAUGUCUGGGCCAUUGGACAAGGGUUUCUUCAUGUCCGGGCCGCUUGACUCAGCUGAUACAAGUAGCUUCUCUGCUCCUCUUGGUCAUGGCCGGGGAAAGACGAGAUUUGGCCAACUUGUGAGGAGCAUGAGCAGACCUAUGACGAGUGUGCUUUCAAAAACUUUUACCAGGCGUCAGCGUGGCUCUGGUUGGAUCCACCGGUUCCUCUUGCAUCCCAUGUCCCAUCUAGUGUGGCAUUCUAAGGACACAAAACCACAAUCUGAUCCUUCGCGAAACUGUUUGGAAGCUGGUACCUCUGAACUUGAGUAUUGCAGCAGCCGCAACUUGCAAUGGGCUCAUGGCAAGGCUGGGGAGGACAGGGUUCAUGUUGUCCUUUCCGAAGAGCAAGGGUGGUUGUUUGUUGGAAUCUAUGAUGGCUUCAGUGGUCCUGAUGCACCCGAUUUUUUGAUGAAUAACCUUUAUAAAGCUGUAGAUAAAGAAUUGGAGGGACUUCUAUGGUAUUAUGAAGACAAAUCAGGCCAUAUUAUUUCAUCAUCUGAUCUUAGUGAAAAUGAUGCUUCUAAGAUUUCUUCUGGUGUUGUAAAACAAGAAUCUCUUUCUUCAGACUUGCAACAAGGUGAAUUGUGGAAUUCUAGGUCAGUUAAUUUAUCUUUUGGAAACCAAUGUGAGGAAGGAGUUGCACUUGACCCAUCCCAUGAAGAAAAUUUUCGAUUAGAAUCUUCCAUGGGUGACAAUUUGGUUAAGGGAUCGAGCAUGGGUGGCCCAACUUCGGAAGGAGAAGUUGAAGACAACAAGCUGUGGUGUGAAAUUCCUCGUGACUGCAAUUCAUACAGGGACGAUGGAAAUCUGGACGCUGGGGGUCAUGCUGAUGUAUCCCAUAAGAAAACAUCCUGCAUCUCAGAAAUCCAAUCAGAAAGUAGAUGUAGAAAAAACAAACGCCUUUAUGAGCUUCUUCAGAUGGAACUUCUUGAGGACCAUGGCAAAGACUCUUACCUGUCAUCAGGUAAUCCCACUGCCAGAAGUGAUUCUUGGGAUUUGCAGAUUAGUGCCCCUGGGGACUUGGGUAUCAGUAGCAGAGAAAUUUCCUCACCAGUACAACCAGUACUUCAUUCAUCCAGCACCAAGAGGGAAAGUUUAAGGCUAGGAGAAGAACUUGUUGGAAUACAAGAGAGUAAUGCUGUAGUUAGAAGCAGUUCAAAAGAAUCAAAGCAAAAAUAUGUGGUAUCAUUUUCUACUGUAGGACAAAAACAGAUGAUGAGAGCGUCAUUAUUUGGAACAAGGUUAAGGAAAAUGUACAGAAAGCAUAAAUUCUCACACAGGAAACUUUUCUCUUGGAGCUACUAUGGGAAUAGAAAUCCAUCUAAUAUUGAUGAUAGAGUAGAUAAUUCAUCAGUGAUUAUCAGACGGUGUAAAUCAGGGCCAGUGGACCAUGAUGCAGUACUGAAGGCUAUGACACGGGCACUGGAAGCCACAGAAGAGGCUUUUGUGGAUAUGGUAGAGAAGGCACUAGAUAGAAACCCAGAGCUCGCACUGAUGGGAUCAUGUGUUCUUGUCAUGUUAAUGAAGGACCAGGAUGUGUAUGUGAUCAAUCUUGGAGAUAGUCGUGUUAUUCUUGCACAAGAUAGACUAAAUGAUGUCUACGAUGCACAAACUGUUACAAUAGAAGACGCAAGACAUCAAAACUGUAUGAGAGAUUCUCUUGUCCAUAUGGAGUUAGAUAGGAUAUCAGAGGAAUCUCCAAUGCAUAAUCCUAAGGCCCAGCUUUGUAACAGUAAUAAGACCCGGGAAUUAUCUCUUUGUAACCUAAAAAUGAGGGCUGCUCAGCUCUCUUCUGACCACAGUACAAGCAUUGAGGAGGUAUGAGCCAGACACAAGUUUUAACCCACCUUGUAGAGAAUUCUGAAUAGACAGUUUGUGUGCUUGAAUUUGCAUAUGAGAAGGUGCUUGGCGAGGAAGAUUUAUGCAAAAAAAUACUCUGUGUGGUAGUGCUUAGGUUCUCUAAACUAAUGCUAGAAAUUGUUCAAAAUAGUGGAUCUAUUAUAAAUUGCAAGUUUCCAAGAACUGAAGUACAAUAUGGAAUCCUUGAUUGUGUUUCAUGCUCCUACUCCUUUAUGGUAGUGUAGAAACUACACCUUAUAGAAGCUGGAGGUUUUGAGAAUUAAAGCAGAACAUCAUGAUGAUGCUCAAGCUGUCUUCAAUGACAGAGUAAAGGGCCAGUUAAAAGUUACAAGAGCAUUUGGAGCAGAAUUUCUGAAGAAGCCAAAAUUGAACCAAGCUCUGCUAGAAAUGUUCAGAGUUGACUACGUUGGAGACUUGCCAUACAUUAGUUGCAGUCCAUCAGUUCUUCACCAUCAUCUCUGCUCAAGUGAUCGAUUUUUAGUCCUCUCGUCCGAUGGGCUUUACCAGUAUUUCAGCAAUGAAGAGGUGGUGUCACAUAUUACAUGGUUUAUGGAAAAUGCACCAGAUGGGGACCCUGCACAAUACCUCAUUGCUGAACUGCUAAUCCGUGCUGCUAAAAAGAAUGGCAUGGACUUCCAUGAAUUGCUGGAUAUUCCUCAAGGGGACCGUCGUAAGUACCACGACGAUGUUUCUGUCAUGGUGGUUUCCUUGGAAGGAAGGAUUUGGAGAUCAUCCAGUUGAUUAUUGUCUUUAGGAAGCUGUUUGCCUUGUAACCUCGUUUCCAACAAAUUACAAUCAUCAAAGGCAUCCUUGUUUUGUAUA